CCUACGGGAGGCAGCAGUGGGGGAUAUUGCACAAUGGGGGGAACCCUGAUGCAGCGACGCCGCGUGGGUGAAGAAGCGCCUCGGCGCGUAAAGCCCUGUCAGCAGGGAAGAAAAUGACGGUACCUGAAGAAGACGCCCCGGGUAACUACGUGCCAGCAGCCGCGGUACUACGUAGGGGGCAAGCGUUAUCCGGAUUUACUGGGGGUAAAGGGGGCGCAGACGGCGAUGAAAGCCAGGAGGGAAAGCCCGGGGGCCAACCCCGGGACUGCUCUUGGAACUGCGUGGCUGGAGUGCAGGAGGGGCGGGCGGAAUUCCAGGUGUAGCGGUGAAAUGCGUAGAUAUCAGGAGGAACACCGGUGGCGAAGGCGGCCUGCUGGACUGCAACUGACGUUGAGGCCCGAAAGCGUGGGGAGCAAACAGGAUUAGAUACCCGGGUAGUC
rnacentral:rRNA from 1 species